GUGUUCUAUGGAAGGAGAGAAGGUUAGCACUCCCCUUGAAGGAAAAGGCCCUCAUAGCCCAUAAAACACGCAUAUGAUUUAGGCACUGGCACCUAACCAUGUUUU